rnacentral:rRNA from 1 species
UACGUAGGGGGCAAGCGUUGUCCGGAUUUAUUGGGCGUAAAGAGCGUGUAGGCGGCCAUACAGGUCAGCUGUGAAAACUCGAGGCUCAACCUCGAGACGUCGGUUGAAACCGUAUGGCUAGAGUCCGGAAGAGGAGAGUGGAAUUCCCGGUGUAGCGGUGAAAUGCGCAGAUAUCGGGAAGAACACCCGUGGCGAAGGCGGCUCUCUGGGACGGUACUGACGCUGAGACGCGGAAAGCGUGGGGAGCGAACAGG